rnacentral:rRNA from 1 species
CCUACGGGAGGCAGCAGUUGGGGAAUCUUCCGCAAUGGGCGCAAGCCUGACGGAGCAACGCCGCGUGAGUGAAGAAGGGUUUCGACUCGUAAAGCUCUGUUGUCGGGGACGAAUGUGGAGAUGGUGAAUAACCAUUUUCAAUGACGGUACCUGACGAGGAAGCCACGGCUAACUACGUGC